GUUCGCCAAACAACUACGAGUAAUACUUAAAACUUAAAAGACUUGACGGUACUUCAUCCCGACCUAGAGGAGCCUGUCCAAUAACCGACAAUCCACGAUUAACCCAACCCCUUCUUGCCCCACAGUCUAUAUACCGCCGUCGUCAGCUUACCUUGUAAAAGAAAUAAAGUAAGCUAAACAGUAUCACACUAAAACGACAGGUCGAGGUGUAACUUAUGAAGAGGACCAAGAUGGGCUACAUUCUCCAACCAAGAAUACGAAUAACACUAUGAAAUUAAUGUUUAAAGGCGGAUUUAGCAGUAAGAUAAGAAUAAAAUACCUAACUGAAUAUAACGCAAUGAAGUGCGCACACACCGCCCGUCACCCCUGCCACCAC
rnacentral:rRNA from 1 species